rnacentral:rRNA from 1 species
CACUAUCGUUAACUGAAUACAUAGGUUAACGAGGCGAACCGGGGGAACUGAAACAUCUAAGUACCCCGAGGAAAAGAAAUCAACCGAGAUUCCCCCAGUAGCGGCGAGCGAACGGGGAGCAGCCCAGAGUCUGAAUCAGCUUGUGUGUUAGUGGAACGGUCUGGAAAGUCCGACGGUACAGGGUGAUAGUCCCGUACACCAAAAUGCACAGGUUGUG